CCAGGGAGUACACUCUCCAAAGAGUUGGACGGGCCCAGGAUCGAGGACUUGCGAGGCUGCGGGGAAGAGUGAUGGUUGGAUGGUUCCCCUCAACAGUCCUACGGGCGAUGUAAUCGCCAACACCGGGGAGAGCAGAGGAGGCUCCGCGGCGGGUGCCUGGAGCGUCGCGGACGACGAGGGAGGCUGCUGGGCAUCACUAACGUUGGAGAAGAGCAUACAAAAAGGAGAGAUACUCAAGAG